CACAGGCUUGGUCCUGGCCUUUCUAUUAGUUACUAGUUAGCUUACACAUGCAAGAAUCCCCAUCCCAGUGAAAAUGCCCUCUAGGCCAUGUUUAUGGUAGUAAAGGAGCUGGUAUCAAGCACACUAAAAAGUAGCUCAAGACACCUUGCCUAGCCACGCCCCCACGGGAAACAGCAGUGACAGAAAUUAAGCAAUAAAUGAAAGUUUGACUAAGUUAUACUAUUUAGGACUGGUAAAUCUCGUGCCAGCCACCGCGGUCACACGAUUGGGCCAAACUAAUAGACAUCCGGCGUAAAGAGUGUUUUAGAAUUUAAACAACCAAUAAAGUCAAGCUCUAACUAAGCUGUAAAAAGCUGCAGUUAUCAUAAGAUUAAUGACGAAAGUAACUUUAAAAAAUCUGACCACACGAUAGCUAAGACCCAAACUGGGAUUAGAUACCCCACUAUGCUUAGCCCUAAACACAAAAAAUCGCAAACAAAAUUAUUCGCCAGAGUACUACCAGCAACAGCUAGAAACUCAAAGGACUUGGCGGUGCCUUAUAUCCUUCUAGAGGAGCCUGUUCUGUAAUCGAUAAACCCCGAUCUACCUCACCAGUUUUGGCUAAGUCAGCCUAUAUACCGCCAUCUUCAGCAAACCCUAAAAAGGACAUAUAGUAAGCGCAAGUAUUAACAUAAAAACGUUAGGUCAAGGUGUAGCUUAUAAACUGGAAAGAAAUGGGCUACAUUCCCCAAUCUAGGGAAUAGAAUCUCACGAAAACUUACGUGAAAUCAUAAGUUAAAGGUGGAUUUAGCAGUAAACUGAGAAUAGAGUGCUCAGUUGAACAAGGCAAUGAGGCAUGCACACACCGCCCGUCACCCUCCUCAAGUGAAAAUUAUUAACAACUACAUAAAUCUUAUAAUAAAACCCCAUAAGAGGAGACAAGUCGUAACAAGGUAAGUGUACUGGAAAGUGCACUUGGACAAC
rnacentral:ncRNA from 1 species